GCCAUGUCGCGUGCAGGAUGACUGCCCUAUGGGUUGUAAACUGCUUUUAUACGGGAAGAAAGGUAUCUACGUGUAGAUAUUUGCCGGUACCGUACGAAUAAGCAUCGGCUAACUCCGUGCCAGCAGCCGCGGUAAUACGGAGGAUGCGAGCGUUAUCCGGAUUUAUUGGGUUUAAAGGGUGCGUAGGCGGAAUGGUAAGUCAGCGGUGAAAUACUGCAGCUCAACUGAAGAACUGCCGUUGAUACUGUCAUUCUUGAGUAUAGAUGAGGUAGGCGGAAUGAGUAGUGUAGCGGUGAAAUGCAUAGAUAUUACUCAGAACACCAAUUGCGAAGGCAGCUUACUAAACUAUAACUGACGCUGAAGCACGAAAGCGUGGGUAUCAAACAGGAUUAGAUACCCUGGUAGUCCACGCCGUAAACUAUGAUUACUGGUUGUUUGCGAUACACAGUAAGCGACUGAGCGAAAGCAUUAAGUAAUCCACCUGGGGAGUACGUUGGCAACAAUGAAACUCAAAGGAAUUGACGGGGGCCCGCACAAGCGGUGGAACAUGUGGUUUAAUUCGAUGAUACGCGAGGAACCUUACCUGGGCUUAAAUGGGGAGUGACGGAUGUGGAAACAUGUCUUUCUUCGGACACUCUUCAAGGUGCUGCAUGGUUGUCGUCAGCUCGUGCCGUGAGGUGUCGGGUUAAGUCCCAUAACGAGCGCAACCCCUGUUGUCAGUUACCAGCAUGUAAAGAUGGGGACUCUGACAAGACUGCCGGUGUAAACCGCGAGGAAGGUGGGGAUGACGUCAAAUCAGCACGGCCCUUACGUCCAGGGCUACACACGUGUUACAAUGGCCAGUACAAAGGGCAGCUACACAGCAAUGUGAUGCUAAUCUCGAAAACUGGUCCCAGUUCGGAUUGUAGUCU
rnacentral:rRNA from 1 species